rnacentral:rRNA from 1 species
UGGCACCUCGAUGUCGGCUCGUCGCAUCCUGGGGCUGGAGUAGGUCCCAAGGGUUGGGCUGUUCGCCCAUUAAAGCGGUACGCGAGCUGGGUUUAGAACGUCGUGAGACAGUUCGGUCCCUAUCCGCUGCGCGCGUAGGAAGUUUGAGAGGAUCUGACCCUAGUACGAGAGGACCGGGUUGGACGAACCUCUGGUGUGUCAGUUGUUCCGCCAGGAGCACCGCUGAUUAGCUACGUUCGGGAUGGAUAACCGCUGAAAGCAUCUAAGCGGGAAGCCGGCCUCAAGAUGAGACUUCCAUACCCCUUGUGGGUGAGAGGCUCCCAGCCAGAUUACUGGGUUGAUAGGCAGGAUGUGGAAGAGGGGACUAAAGACCCUUGCAGCUGACCUGUACUAAUAAGCCGAUGACUUGACAAC